GAGGGUAUAGCUCAAUGGUAGAAUGCAUGCUUAGCAUGCACAAGGUCCUGGAUUCAAUCCCCAGUACUUCCA
rnacentral:tRNA from 1 species